rnacentral:rRNA from 1 species
GAUGAACGCCAGCGGCAGGCUUAAUACAUGCAAGUCGAGGGGCAGCGGGAGUAGCAAUACUUGCCGGCGACCGGCGCACGGGUGCGUAACACGUAUGUAAUCUGCCCAUUACAGGAGAAUAGCCCGGAGAAAUUCGGAUUAAUACUCCAUAAUAAAUUGAGUGGCAUCACUUGAUUUUGAAAGUUCCGACGGUGAUGGAUGAACAUGAGACUGAUUAGUUAGUUGGUGAGGUAACGGCUCACCAAGACCACGAUCAGUAGGGGUACUGAGAGGUUAAACCCCCACACUGGUACUGAGACACGGACCAGACUCCUACGGGAGGCAGCAGUAAGGAAUAUUGGACAAUGGCCGCAAGGCUGAUCCAGCCAUGCCGCGUGCAGGAAGACGGACCUAUGGUUUGUAAACUGCUUUUGAACUAGAGAAAACCCCUUUACGUGUAAAGGGCUGAUAGUAUAGUUAGAAUAAGCAUCGGCUAACCUCGUGCCAGCAGCCGCCGUAAGAC